rnacentral:sRNA from 1 species
ACAUGGGAAGAAGUUCCAGCCUCCUCAGAGGCCCAAUCGCCACACUAGACAGUGACCCCUCCCCUCCGCCUGCUAGAUCCCUAGGUAACUAGGUAACAGACCAGGACCAACAUAGCAACCUCAGGGAAAGUUACAGGGAAGAAAGACAAUGUUCUCUAGAGUUCCUGGAAUAGAGGAUUGGAUCCUUCUAUGCUGCUUGCAGCUCUGGGGUUCUGGAACCGGCUUGCUGUGGAAGUACAAAGUUCAGGCUGGUGGCUCCCAGAGGGUGUGCUUCGGUCUCACCAGGGUCUUCCAUGGCUGGGAGCUCCUUCAGCUUCUCCUGGGACUCAGGAAGAGAAUCCAACCCCCAAGGCACAGGCGUGCACAUUCCUGGCGGUUGCUAUGGAGAAAGGAUGCUGUGUCUCCAUGGAAACUAAGCUCUUUGCUUAACUGAGGUUCUGGGGGUGGUUCUGACACUCACUGCUAAGCAGAGGGGGCGUGUGGCUGUGAGGUCGACAGCACAUGGUGCUGCUGCUAGCUGUCUCCCACACACAGACCCUGCUAGCUAGCCCGCCUUGCCAAUUUGCCAAGUGUUUGGGGCAGGUGCAGACAUGACCUGACCUCCAGAAAUGUGCAGAAGCCCCUUCCCCACCCGAGGCCACGUGCUUCGACUGUUUGCCUGCCCUGGUCCCAACUUCCUUCCUCAGGCUUUUCUCUAAGAACUAAUGUCUCAAACUGUAGGGACCCCAGAAGUCUGUCUUAGGUGCUCCCCACAAAAGCCUUGAUUCCCUUGUAAGAUACAACAACCACACAGCAGUCAUAUCCAGGUCCAAUUUUAUUCCAGUCCUUGGGAUCUGAGAGGCAGACACCAGGAAUGGCCCUGAGAAAGCCUGGGAAGCCAACUCCCCAGUGGCAGUUAGGAUGGGCAAGACCCAACAUGUCUCUGGCAGGAGUCCCUCCUGCAGCGGGGCCUGGCUCAUGACUCAGUGGCCAAGGACCAGGGUUUAGUCAGGAGGGUUGCUGCUUUGACUCUGGAUGAGGCCUGUCUUCUUGUGGGGGACACUGAGAAGUUACUCUUUGGGGAGGGGUGGGCUGCUCAGGGAUGGAGACAACGGUCUUGCUUGGCCAGGUCAGCGUCAGGGCCGGUUGGUU